AUAUUUCACAAUGGGCGCAAGCCUGAUGCAGCCAUGCCGCGUGUAUGAAGAAGGCCUUCGGGUUGUAAAGUACUUUCAGCGAGGAGGAAGGCAUUGUGGUUAAUAACCACAGUGUUUGACGUUACUCGCAGAAGAAGCACCGGCUAACUCCGUGCCAGCAGCCGCGGUAAUACGGUGGGUGCAAGCGUUAAUCGGAAUUACUGGGCGUAAAGCGAACGCAGGCGGUUUGUUAAGUCAGAUGUGAAAUCCCCGGGCUCAACCUGGGAACUGCAGUUGAAACUGGCAAGCUUGAGUCUCGUAGAGGGGGGUAGAAUUCCAGGUGUAGAGGUGAAAUGCGUAGAGAUCUGGAGGAAUACCGGUGGCGAAGGCGGCCCCCUGGACAAAGACUGACGCUCAGGUGCGAAAGCGUGGGGAGCAAAC
rnacentral:rRNA from 1 species